ensembl:lncRNA
GUGAAUGUUCUAGAUCAACCAACACACUGACAGUGGUGAAUGUUCUAGACAUGCAUGAGAUUCACUCACUCAAUCACCCCAGCGCUUGGAGCUAGGCUAAUAAACAAGAGUUUGAGUCCGUUAAUAAAUAUCUGUAGAAUGUUCUGCUGUGAAAUAGAGUACACACACACACACACACACACACAGUGUGAAUGAUUAAAAAGGAGAAUAACAGGUGAAAGACAGAGCAAGCUCAUCUCUAAGUGGGAAGCUGAUCUGUAUAUCAACUGUUCUGUGUGGUGUGUCAGAAGCUUAAUUGACACAGGAGAGAAAAGCCUAAAUAAAGAAACAUCAUGACACAAUUCAUAUGGCCAGGUAAAACAUUUAUAAAUGAAUAAAAACCUUCCCUUUAUUUUCUGUUUCUUCCAGAUUUUUCCCCACAAAGUUUUUUUUUUUUUUUGCUUUUGUUUCAUGUUUUUCUUCUCUCUUAAAUUAUAUAAAAAUAUUUCAGACAUUCAUUUCGCAUGUGUUUCAUUCAGUCCUCUUGAUUAAUUCAUAUGCCCCUGUAUUUCUAAAGACCCAUUGGUUUAUACAUUAUUUACAGGUUAACUCAGUCCGUCUCCCGUUUCAGCCUUGGCGUUAGGACACCAGAACAUAUUUGCAUAGAUUCCAGGAGAGAUCUAUCUGUCGUUUCACAAUACAGGAACAAACAAAAAAAAGUGAGAGAGAGAACAGCUGACAGACAAUUUCCAGAAAUCUACAUUUAAAUCAAAAAUCGUUUGAAACUUAAAUCUUUAAAAAAAAUGACACACACACAAUACUAAUGAGAACCAUAAAUCCAUCCUCGUCAGCUCAUUGACUAGAUAAUCACAGUGAGUUGUUCAGCUCUCUUGUGGUAUCUUGUCAUUUGGAACAGUAACUACAUUCUCUCCAAACAUAGUUUGAAUGAUGAUAAGCAGUAAAUAUAAUAGGAAGUCGGGAAGUGACAUCAGAGGAUCUGCAUGGCAUUAUGUGGAGUGGCUGACUGGCAGUUUCAGAGAGAUGGCUGUAUGAGGGAGAGAGGUGCAUGACUGAGGAAGACUACUGCUGCCACACACACACACACACACACACACACACACACACACACACACACACAAAACCUGGAAAGAGCUGAACAGGCUCACAAAUCACCAAUCAACACAAUUGAAAUAGUUGCUUGAAUUUCUUAACAAUUUACAAUAAAAAGGAAAAUGCUAACAUGGUGACAACACCUGAUCCAGCUACUGGCUGUAGCCACCCUGAAACCCAGAUGUAUUUAACUCAACUGAGUUAGUUUAGGGUUUGUUGCAUGCAUAACGUAGAAUUACUUAUUGUAGGUUUGCGUUCUUGUGGAUGGGGGUUGCUUCAAGAGAACAGUGAACUGUCUAAUAAAGAACAGUGCAUCUAACUCACACAACCUUUAACAAGCAAUUAUUUCACAAGAAAAAUAUUCAUACAAGUUAAAAAAAAACAGACUUCGAGUGACUGAUUUGAUGUCUGAUCAAAAUGAAAUAGAUAACGGUUAAUAAGAGAUAAUCAUUUGGUCAUUGCCAGGGUACAGUUUGUGACCUCAAGGGGAGGGGGAUUUACCGACUGUAAAAUCCUUUUUUUCUUGCACAACGUAUUGAGACAAUAAAACCGAAUGAAAAGGGACACAUUGGAGGUGAACGAAACAGACAGAAUGAGAGGGUUUGGAUGGACAGCUGGAGGGACGGAUGGUGUUUUGGAAAACACUGCGGUAGUUUACUCCCUCCCUCUUCAACACAGAAACAGCUGGAUUCUCAGUCUAGCACAAGAUUACCCAGAACCUACUUGUGGAACUAGCGACUUCUCAUACAGAUUUUAUUGUUCAUAUUUUUAUUGAAUUACUGUAUAUUCUUUUUUUCCCCUCUUCAAACAUCUGGAUGUAGCUGUUCGAGAAACUUGGGGAAUAUCGUCAAUUCUGGAGAUUCAAUUCUUGAGAGUUAUACAUGUCCAGAAUAAGAGUAACAGCACAGGAUAUUAAGGGAACCAUUGUAGCCAUGGCUUUCAUCAAACGUCAAAGUCAAGAGUCGUACCUGUCGACCAGAGUUUCCUGCAUAUCCAUUUUAAAUUCUGACAGAUGUUCUGGGGGGAAAAAAACUGGCAAAAACAGUUGUUUCACUGACAGAGCAGAGAGAAUGUUGAGCCAAGAUACUGACAAUAUAGAGGCAGGGUUAGAGAUGGACUUUCACAUACACACACUGACACACACACUUAAAAACAACCUCAAACCUUAGAUAAAAAAAUACAAACGGAAAUGAAAGUAAUUAAAGUGUCUUGGCAAAGCCUCAAACACCGUGUGGGCUAGCUUCUCAACACAACGCAUACAAAUCAAUAUUAGAUGCACGGAAACACUGACAUGGUUAAAGUUUCUACAGACUAGUUUCCCAGAGAGAAGAAAAAAAGGUGCCAUCUUUACUUGGUACCUCAAGAGACAAGAAUGACACCUUUUAGAUAUGUAUAUUACCUAUGUAAGGUUAAGUAUUACCGUUUAAGACUGCAUCAUGCUUAGUUAGGCUAGGUCCAAGGUUAUCAUUAGCCUGGGUACCAGUCUCUUAGUUAGGCUAGGUCCAAGGUUAUCAUUAGCCUGGGUACCAGUCUCUUAGUUAGGCUAGGUCCAAGGUUAUCAUUAGCCUGGGUACCAGUCUCUUAGUUAGGCUAGUUCCAAGGUCAUCAUUAGCCUGGGUACCAGUCUCUUAGUUAGGCUAGGUCCAAGGUCAUCAUUAGCCUGGGUACCAGUCUCUUAGUUAGGCUAGGUCCAAGGUUAUCAUUAGCCUGGGUACCAGUCUCUUAGUUAACCUUGGAACUAGCCUUUCAUUAGCCUGGGUACCAGUCUCUUAGUUAGGCUAGUUCCAAGGUUAUCAUUAGCCUGAGUACCAGCCUCUAGAGAAUCCACUCCCUAUACACAAAUCAAAUCAACAUAUUAAUUGUCACGUACAUGUUGUCAUGUGCCAAAUAUGGUAAUGGCAAGGAGUAGAAUGUUAGCUAAGAGACUGGUACUCAGACUAGGUUAUUAUGACAGUUCUAUGUUCCAUUAUAGAACAGUUGGGGUGAAUGUUCUUUGGAUUCCAUGUUCCUAGCCUAGGUGAUAGAUCUACAGUAUCUUUUCCUUGAAGUAUCUUUCCCCCAACAGGAAGAAUGCCUUUCAGUAUAGAUAGUCAGCGUAAACUGAUAAUGGCCCUUUGGACUGGGACCCUAUUCUCCCAGGGUUUCGAGAGCCCAAAACAAAACUGUGUAGCCUAUUUCACACAACAACAGAUUUGAUGGACGGAUCGUCAAUUCGGUUAAUUGCAAACAGGAAACUAAAUGUGAUAAAUGUAGUCACAUUAAAACAAAUGUAAAGCUUUUAGAGGAACCAAUAUCUCCAGAGGAAAACCAGCACGAGAGAAGAGAGGUUGAAAGCAACGAGCACGAGGUUUUCUCCCAGUCUCAGACUACCGAUGAAACUUCCCAUCCUCCGUCCCACACUGAACCAUCAGAGAGGUAGACUCUACAAAGCAGGAUCAAUGAGUUAGCCAGCUAACUUUGACAAGCAACCAGAGGGGUAGACUCUACAAAGCAGGAUCAAUGAGUUAGCCAGCUAACUUUGACAAGCAACCAGAGGGGUAGACUCUACAAAGCAGGAUCAAUGAGUUAGCCAGCUAACUUUGACAAGCAACCAGAGGGGUAGACUCUACAAAGCAGGAUCAAUGAUUUAGCCAGCUAACUUUGACAAGCAACGAGAGGGGUAGACUCUACAAAGCAGGAUCAAUGAGUUAGCCAGCUAACUUUGACAAGCAACCAGAGGGGUAGACUCUACAAAGCAUGAUCAAUGAGUUAGCCAGCUAACUUUGACAAGCAACCAGAGGGGUAGACUCUACAAAGCAUGAUCAAUGAGUUAGCCAGCUAACUUUGACAAGAAACCAGAGGGGUAGACUCUACAAAGCAGGAUGAAUGAGUUAGCCAGCUAACUUUGACAAGCAACCAGAGGGGUAGACACUACAAAGCAUGAUCAAUGAGUUAGCCAGCUAACUUUGACAAGCAACCAGAGAGGUAGACUCUACAAAGCAGGAUGAAUGAGUUAGCCAGCUAACUUUGACAAGCAACCAGAGGGGUAGACUCUACAAAGCAGGAUCAAUGAGUUAGCCAGCUAACUUUGACAAGCAACCAGAGGGGUAGACUCUACAAAGCAUGAUCAAUGAGUUAGCCAGCUAACUUUGACAAGCAACCAGAGGGGUAGACUCUACAAAGCAUGAUCAAUGAGUUAGCCAGCUAACUUUGACAAGCAACCAGAGGGGUAGACACUACAAAGCAGGAUCAAUGAGUUAGCCAGGCCUAAAGCACUGCAGUGUUUUUUAUACAACAGAACAGAAACACAGCCUUUCCGAUGGCAACACCUUGUGCAUGACCAAAUAGACUGGCAACACCUUGUGCAUGACCAAAUAGACUGGCAACACCUUGUGCAUGACCAAAUAGACUGGCAACACCUUGUGCAUGACCAAAUAGACUGGCAACACCUUGUGCAUGACCAAAUAGACUGGCAACACCGGGUGCAUGACCAAAUAGACUGGCAACACCUUGUGCAUGACCAAAUAGACUGGCAACACCUUGUGCAUGACCAAAUAGACUGGCAACACCGGGUGCAUGACCAAAUAGACUGGCAACACCGGGUGCAUGACCAAAUAGACUGGCAACACCGGGUGCAUGACCAAAU